CUGUGGCAAUUGCCAACAGAGUCGAUGAGGCCUGGAUAUCUUUGCAGCCAAUCCUGUUUGUCUUUUAUCUAGCACAAUAUACUCCCACAUUUUUUAGAAGUUUCCUUGUGAAGAAAUUUGUGACCAAAGAAAGAGCAGCUGCAUGGAGAGAAGGACAAUCUUAAUUUGAGUGAAACAGCAUCAGUUUUCUAAUUAUUAAGUUUAGAAUAUUAUAGGGUUAAAGGUGGAUUUGCAAUGUGUUAAUUACUCUGUUUUUUCUACAAGAUUAUGGUCUUUGAUUCACUCAUUUUUUAUGAAAAUAAUUUUAAUUUCAUAUCUAUCAACUGUCAAAAAUAACAAUUAUAAUCAAUGAUUGUGGGUACCAUGCAUGGUUUGAUUUUAUAAAUUAAUUCGUCUUUUGCAAGUAAUCAACAGUUACCCAUAAACUUUAAACAAAUUCUAUGCAUGAUUUAACACAUGCUAAAAUGUUUGUAUGAAAAUGUUUUAUAAAAUAAUGUAUAAAACACUACAAUAAAUUUAUAUAAUUAAUA